GACGAACGCUGGCGGCGUGCUUAACACAUGCAAGUCGAACGGAAAGGCCCUGCUUUUGUGGGGUGCUCGAGUGGCGAACGGGUGAGUAACACGUGAGUAACCUGCCCUUGACUUUGGGAUAACUUCAGGAAACUGGGGCUAAUACCGGAUAGGAGCUCCUGCUGCAUGGUGGGGGUUGGAAAGUUUCGGCGGUUGGGGAUGGACUCGCGGCUUAUCAGCUUGUUGGUGGGGUAGUGGCUUACCAAGGCUUUGACGGGUAGCCGGCCUGAGAGGGUGACCGGCGACAAUGGGACUGAGAGACGGCGCAGACUCGUACGGGAGGCAGCAGUGGGGAACAUUGCACAAUGGGCGGAAGCCUGAUGCAGCAGCGCCGCGUGCGGGAUGACGGCCUUCGGGUUGUAAACCGCUUUCGCCUGUGACGAAGCGUGAGUGACGGUAAUGGGUAAAGAAGCACCGGCUAACUACGUG
rnacentral:rRNA from 1 species